ACAUAUCAAUAAGCGGAGGAAAAGAAACCAACAGGGAUUACCUCAGUAACGGCGAGUGAAGCGGUAACAGCUCAAAUUUGAAAUCUGGCCUCACGGUCCGAGUUGUAAUUUGUAGAGGAUGUUUCGAGCAUGGUCUGGCCUAAGUUCCUUGGAACAGGACGUCAUAGAGGGUGAGAAUCCCGUAUGCGGUCAGGUGCCUACGCUCAUGUGAAACUCCUUCGACGAGUCGAGUUGUUUGGGAAUGCAGCUCAAAAUGGGUGGUAAAUUUCAUCUAAAGCUAAAUAUUGGCCAGAGACCGAUAGCGCACAAGUAGAGUGAUCGAAAGAUGAAAAGCACUUUGGAAAGAGAGUUAAACAGUACGUGAAAUUGUUGAAAGGGAAGCGCUUGCAACCAGACUUGCGCGCGGCUGAUCAUCCGGUGUUCUCACUGGUGCACUCGGUCGCGCUCAGGCCAGCAUCGGUUUUGGUGGUUGGAUAAAGGCCUUAGGAAUGUAGCUCCUCUCGGGGAGUGUUAUAGCCUAGGGUGCAAUGCAGCCUACCGGGACCGAGGACCGCGCUUCGGCUAGGAUGCUGGCGUAAUGGUUGUAAGCGGCCCGUCUUGAAACACGGACCAAGGAGUCUAACAUCUAUGCGAGUGUUUGGGUGUCAAACCCAUACGCGUAAUGAAAGUGAACGGAGGUGAGAACCCUUAAGGGUGCAUCAUCGACCGAUCCUGAUGUCUUCGGAUGGAUUUGAGUAAGAGCAUAGCUGUUGGGACCCGAAAGAUGGUGAACUAUGCCUGAAUAGGGUGAAGCCAGAGGAAACUCUGGUGGAGGCUCGCAGCGGUUCUGACGUGCAAAUCGAUCGUCAAAUUUGGGUAUAGGGGCGAAAGACUAAUCGAACCAUCUAGUAGCUGGUUCCUGCAG
rnacentral:rRNA from 1 species